rnacentral:rRNA from 1 species
GUAGGUGGCAAGCGUUGUCCGGAAUUAUUGGGGCGUAAAGCGCGCACAGGCGGUUCUUUAAGUCUGAUGUGAAAGCCCACGGGCUCAACCGUGGAGGGUCAUUGGAAACUGGAGAACUUGAGUACAGAAGAGGAAAGCGGAAUUCCACGUGUAGCGGUGAAAUGCGUAGAGAUGUGGAGGAACACCAGUGGCGAAGGCGGCUUUCUGGUCUGUAACUGACGCUGAGGCGCGAAAGCGUGGGGAGCAAACAGGAUUAGAUACCCUGGUAGUCCACGCCGUAAACGAUGAGUGCUAAGUGUUAGGGGGUUUCCGCCCCUUAGUGCUGCAGCUAACGCAUUAAGCACUCCGCCUGGGGAGUACGGCCGCAAAGGCUGA